rnacentral:lncRNA from 1 species
GUAUCUGGCAUGUGCAGAACUGAAAAAGCGGGCACAGUUUUCUCACCGUGCCUCUUCCUUGUGGGCAUAGUUGUGGAUAGUGUUCUUCUCAGUAUUUGCAGAUGCUUUUCUUAGCCUUCUGUGAAGCCUGUGGGACUGAAAGGGCUGCUGUGUCUGUCAUAGGAAGGGGUUGGGGUGCUGAGUGUCCUGGCCGUGGCAUGGAGCGGGGAGAGGUGUUUUGCAAGGGCUGCCUGUGUGCCAAGCCCAAUGCCAAGCCUUCUGCAGCUGGCCCUGCAUGGAGAAGCUGGGCUGGGUGGGUCUCUUCGCUGCACUCUGGCCAGCUCUGUCCUCGCACCAGCCUCCAGGGCUCCAGUGUGAGCGUGCAGGUAGAGCCUUGCUCCUCAAAGUCAGGUUCCCAGGGCAACAGCACUCACACCGCUGGCUAGAAAUGGAGAGUCACAGGCUCCACCAAGGACUUUGGACCAGUGAGCAUGACCAGUCUGUGCAAGUCUGACAACAGCGGAACUGGGUCUAUCCCCUACUCAGAAAGGCAAGUCCUCGGAUCACAUGCUUGGAUGGGGCGCUAAUGCCAACUUGCAAGUAAGGUUUUGAAAUCUUUCCCUGUGUUCUUUCUCUGUACUUAGCUUGCCAGGGACCCCUAGCUAGUCAUUUGCGGGUGGUCUCGUAGAUAUGUUUUUAUUUAUUUAAGACAAACUAAUUUCCAGAAGUUGUCUUGAGACAUCAACUUUAUCUCUCCUAUUUCCCCGAUCAAUUUUUUUUUUUUUUUUUUUGGUACCGGAGAUCGAACUCGGGACCUUAGGCUUGAGAGGCAGGCAGCAGCACCACUGAGCUAGAUCCCUGGUCAGAUAUAUGCUUUUAAUGCCCCAAUCUAGAACCCUGUCUUUAGAACCAAAUAGACCCAGGUUUGAAUCCCAGUACUCUCUUGUACUUUAUUGGCAGCUGUGAAGCCUCCCAGACCCUUAAUUUUGUCAUCUCUGAAUUGGAGCUGAUAAUGCUCCUGUUUCAUAGGGUCAGAGGGAGGAUUAAAGAAGAAGCAGGUAAAGCAGGGAGCCCAGCAC